UGCAGUGUGUGAAAACUGAUUGAAAAUUGAGUUCCUUUUUCGUUCCUUUGUUCAUUCCUUUGAUUUGCAUGGUCGAGAGGGAGAGAGCGAGCGAUAAAGAAUAAAGAAAAAGAGAACUCCAUGGUUGGCACAGGGACUUAAUCGUUAUCAGCGAAGUGAGAAGCAUAAGAGUGCACUUGAGAGAGCAAUUGGCUUCAAUAAGAGCUGGAUGAGAUGAUUGGCAGAAUUGGAGAAAGUGUAGCUGCUGUGAAGGCUGGCAAGCCCGCUGCCACGCUGGAUAAGUGAAGUCAAAGCUAUCCAUUUGGAUUAUGCUUAGCUGUCAAGCUUACCUGGACAAGCGGUCAAAAACUCUAAGAGGCAAAUUUGAGAAGCUGGCUGACUUGUUACCUGGAAAAACUGAAGCAGAAGGACUGAAUAUUUUGUAAUAACAUGAAAAGGUUACUUACAGUGUGGACGAGUAAACAAUUGGCAACGGAGAAAUGGAGCAUCUAUUUAUUUUAUUGAUAAGUCCAGACCUGUCCUGUUUGAUUCAUUCAUGAUUCACCAAAUUAUUUCACUCAUAUUGGAUAAACUUCAUUGUCACUAAUAAUAUCAAACUCAGAUGAUUCGGUUUUGUUCUUA